rnacentral:rRNA from 1 species
GACCGGGAAGAGCCCAGCACCGAAUCUCUCAAUUUCUAGUUGCUGAGACCUGUGGUGUGUAGGAGAGCCUUUCUGCUGCCGUCGUAUACCCUAAGUUCCCUUGAUCGGGACCAUAGCCCAGAGAAGGUGCAAGGCCUGUGCGGGUAGCGAUGGUGGUGGUAGGAGCCUCCUUGGAGUCGGAUUGCUUGAGAGUGCAGUCCAAAGUGGGUGGUAAACCUCAUCUAAGGCUAAAUACCGCCACGAGACCGAUAGCAAACAAGUACCGUGAGGGAAAGUUGCAAAGAACUUUGAAGAGAGAGUUCAAGAGGGCGUGAAACCGCUUAGAAGUAAACAGAUGGAGCUGAUGAACAGUCAGCAGGAUUCAGCCGAUUGCGCUACCUCGCCUCGAUGCCGGACGGACUUGCCGGUUUUUGGGUGUCGGUGUGGCCAGUUGGUGCAUUUCCUGUUGAUGUGCGCUGGGACCCAUGCCUGCGCUGGAUGUAUGGCUUGUAGCGCCGGCCGUCGCCUCGGCGAUGGUGUCCUAUACUUGCCAGAAACCGGGUCGCGGAUAUGGGAGAAUUAAAAAAGUCGCCCGCCUCGUCUCGACAGCGUGGCUAGCUCGUUCAAUUGAAAUGUGGUUCCUUGCUUGCAAGACUCUGCGAUGCCUGGGCUUGCGACCUGCGUAUGCUCGAGUUUUGGCGACAUCCCGGUGUUUAUGUCGGUCACCCAUCUGACCCGUCUUGAAACACGGACCAAGGAGUCUAACAUGUGCGCGAGUCAUUGGGUCGCAAAACCCAAAGGCGCAAUGAAAGUGAAUUCCAGUUCGGCUGGAUGACAUGGGACCCUUCCCCGGCCGUGGGGGAGGAGCACCAUGGUCCCGUCCUUUCUGCAUUGCCAGAUGGGCGGAGAUAGAGCGUACACGUUGGGACCCGAAAGAUGGUGAACUAUGCCUGAGCAGGAUGAAGCCAGAGGAAACUCUGGUGGAGGKCCAUAGCGAUUCUGACGUGCAA